rnacentral:rRNA from 1 species
UAAAAAAAGGUAAGCUACUAAGAGCGAAUGGUGGAUGCCUUGACUGGUAAAGGCGAUGAAGGACGUACUAGACUGCGAUAAGCUACGGGGAGCUGUCAAGAAGCUUUGAUCCGUAGAUUUCCGAAUGGGGCAACCCAAUGUAUAGAGAUAUACAUUACCUAUAUAGGAGCGAACGAGGGGAAUUGAAACAUCUUAGUACCCUCAGGAAAAGAAAUCAAUAGAGAUUGCGUCAGUAGCGGCGAGCGAAAGCGCAAGAGGGCAAACCCAGUGCUUGCACUGGGGGUUGUAGGACUGCAAUGUGCAAGAGCUGAGUUUAGCAGAACAUUCUGGAAAGUAUAGCCAUAGAGGGUGAUAGUCCCGUAUGCGAAAAACAAAGCUUAGCUAGCAGUAUCCUGAGUAGGGCGGGACACGAGGAAUCCUGUCUGAAUCCGGGUCGACCACGAUCCAACCCUAAAUACUAAUACCAGAUCGAUAGUGCACAAGUACCGUGAGGGAAAGGUGAAAAGAACUGAGGUGAUCAGAGUGAAAUAGAACCUGAAACCAUUUGCUUACAAUCAUUCAGAGCACUAUGUAGCAAUACAGUGUGAUGGACUGCCUUUUGCAUAAUGAGCCUGCGAGUUGUGGUGUCUGGCAAGGUUAAGCAAACGCGAAGCCGUAGCGAAAGCGAGUCUGAAUAGGGCGCUUAGUCAGAUGCUGCAGACCCGAAACGAAGUGAUCUAUCCAUGAGCAAGUUGAAGCUAGUGUAAGAACUAGUGGAGGACUGAACCCAUAGGCGUUGAAAAGCCCCGGGAUGACUUGUGGAUAGGGGUGAAAGGCCAAUCAAACUUCGUGAUAGCUGGUUCUCUCCGAAAUAUAUUUAGGUAUAGCGUUGUGUCGUAAUAUAAGGGGGUAGAGCACUGAAUGGGCUAGGGCAUACACCAAUGUACCAAACCCUAUCAAACUCCGAAUACCUUAUAUGUAAUCACAGCAGUCAGGCGGCGAGUGAUAAAAUCCGUCGUCAAGAGGGAAACAACCCAGACUACCAGCUAAGGUCCCUAAAUCUUACUUAAGUGGAAAACGAUGUGAAGUUACUUAAACAACCAGGAGGUUGGCUUAGAAGCAGCCAUCCUUUAAAGAAAGCGUAAUAG